rnacentral:lncRNA from 1 species
UUUUUUUUUUUUUGGCAUUGUCUUGCAGAAAGCAGCCGGCCUGGGCAAAUCAUCCAUCUGACUCCGAGAGGUCUACAUCAAUAUAUAUUAUGUCAAAGGAGGUGUUAUACACUUAUAAAAUCUAAAUAAGAACAUACUGUAUAUAAUUAAUAGCAUUAAAACCUUGAUUAUGGAUUGAUUUCCUAGAGAACAACUUAAUUACUGCUUCGUACUGCGCAAAAGAAAAAUAUAUUCAUUUAUAUCUCUUGGUCCAAGAUGCAGCUGGUUAAUUAGCACUUUACGCAGAGCCACAGAAGCUGCUUCAAAAAUGGAUAGCUCGUUGCAGCUUCUCUGUUGGGUUCAUCGUCUAUGUUACUUAAAAUCAAAGUUACUACAAAAAGAUUAAAAGCGAUCUUCCUAAACGAGGAACUCACUCGGAACCUCUGGUUUAUCUUUUCCGUCACUGUUUCUACAAUACAAAAUUUCUCAAUAAUUCAACCAUAAUCUCAUGAUAUUACCCUGAGUUGGUGAUGGCUUGUUGAUUCGGGUCGCGCUCGCCUGGGUUUGCUGCUGCUGCACCGCCGCACGAGUUAGCUACUGCUGUGGGUUCGAGUGGCUGCGUCCCUCAAGUUCAAUCGAUGAUAGAUGAACGAUGGUGGUUGUAAUCGUCGGUUCGCUGUGAGUUAAUGACAGUGGCUACCGGCGGCUGUUUUUGUUGCUUGAUUGCUUCACUUGGUAUGGGUGGGUGAGUGUGAUUCGUGUGAGAGAGGUAGACAGCAACGAGACUACGAGAGCGGCUGAGUGAGGGGAGAAUUUUUAGGGAUU